CGCCUGUUUAUCAAAAACAUCGCCUCUUGUAAAGAUGAAAUAAGAGGUACCGCCUGCCCUGUGACUAAAAGUUUAACGGCCGCGGUAUUUUGACCGUGCAAAGGUAGCGCAAUCACUUGCCUUUUAAAUGAGGGCCUGUAUGAAUGGCAUAACGAGGGCUUAACUGUCUCCUCUCCCUAGUCAAUGAAAUUGAUCUCCCCGUGCAGAAGCGGGGAUAAAAACAUAAGACGAGAAGACCCUGUGGAGCUUUAGACCAUAAAUAGACCAUGUCAAGGACAACAACAAAUUACUCAAACAAAUUGGCUACUGUUUUUAUGUCUUUGGUUGGGGCGACCGCGGGAAAAUAAGAAUCUCCCAUGAGGAUAGAGAAAACCCUAUUCUUAUAGCCAAGAGCUUCCCCUCUAAGUAACAGAACAUCUGACCUUUAUGAUCCGGCCUGGCCGAUCAACGGACCGAGUUACCCCAGGGAUAACAGCGCAAUCCUCUUUUAGAGUCCAUAUCGACAAGGGGGUUUACGACCUCGAUGUUGGAUCAGGACAUCCUAAUGGUGCAGCCGCUAUUAAGGGUUUGUUUGUUCAACAAUUAAAGUCCUACGUGAUCUGAGUUCAGACCGG
rnacentral:rRNA from 1 species